AACGGGUAGUGCCCAGAGUCUGAAUCAGCUUGUGUGUUAGUGGAACGGUCUGGAAAGUCCGACGGUACAGGGUGAUAGUCCCGUACACCAAAAUGCACAGGUUGUGAACUCGAAGAGUAGGGCGGGACACGUGGUAUCCUGUCUGAAUAUGGGGGGACCAUCCUCCAAGGCUAAAUACUCCUGACUGACCGAUAGUGAACC
rnacentral:rRNA from 1 species